rnacentral:misc_RNA from 2 species
AACGCACCUUGCGCUCCCUGGUAUUCCGGGGAGCAUGCCUGUUUGAGUGUCAUGAACUCUUCAACCCACCAGUUUCUAGUAGACUGCGUUGGUGUUUGGAUUUUGAGCGUUGCUAGUCUAACUAGCUCGUUCGUAAUAUAUUAGCAUCUCUAAUUCGAAUUCGGAUUGACUCAGUGUAAUAGACUAUUCGCUGAGGACACUUUUAUUAGUGGCCGUACUAGAACCAGUAGAAGCUUCCAACUAUUGUAGUCAACUUUAUUUUAGACCUCAGAUCAGGCAGGAUUACCCGCUGAACUUAA